UACGUAGGGUGCUAGCGUUGUUCGGAUUUAUUGGGCGUAAAGGGCUCGUAGGCGGCGUGUCGCGUCGGGGAGUGAAAGCCCGCUGCUUAACGGCGGGUUGGCUUCCGGUACGGGCAUCGCUGGAGUGCGGCAGGGGAGACUGGAAUUCCUGGUGUAGCGGUGGAAUGCGCAGAUAUCAGGAGGAACACCGGUGGCGAAGGCGGCGAUCUGGGUAGAUACUGACGCUGAGGUGCGAAAGCGUGGGGAGCAAACAGG
rnacentral:rRNA from 1 species